CAAGCGUCUGGGGUACCCCACUGAUGAGUCUAGGCAGUGAUUCUGAGACGAAACGCAAA
rnacentral:hammerhead_ribozyme from 17 species